GACGAACGCUGGCGGCGUGCUUAACACAUGCAAGUCGAACGGAAAGGCCCUGCUUUUGUGGGGUGCUCGAGUGGCGAACGGGUGAGUAACACGUGAGUAACCUGCCCUUGACUUUGGGAUAACUUCAGGAAACUGGGGCUAAUACCGGAUAGGAGCUCCUGCUGCAUGGUGGGGGUUGGAAAGUUUCGGCGGUUGGGGAUGGACUCGCGGCUUAUCAGCUUGUUGGUGGAGUAGUGGCUUACCAAGGCUUUGACGGGUAGCCGGCCUGAGAGGGUGACCGGCGACAUUGCGCCUGAGGUACGGCCCAGACUCCUACGGGAGGCAGUGGUGGGGAAUAUUACACAGUGGGCGGAAGUCUGAUGCGGCAACGCCGCGUGCGGGAUGACGGCCUUCUGGUUGUAAACCACUUUCGCCUGUGCCGAACCGUGAGUGACGGUACUGGGUCAAGAAGCAACGGCUAACUACGUG
rnacentral:rRNA from 1 species